GCGGUUGUUCCAAUUCCCUGCUAGUCCCUUUGCUUAUCCCUUUAGCAUUGUUGGAAUUUCACAUGAGUUAAACCUUCUCUGGUGGAUGGUGAGAGAGAGAGAGAGAGAGUAGGAGCAUUUUAGUUGAGCCUAUCCUGCGCUGGUUUGUGUUUGCUGCGGUGACAAGGUGCAGCAGUGAAUGAAGUGUUCGUUCAUAAUCACGUAGCUGGUAUGGAGUGGGGGAAGAGAGUGAGGAAGUGAGGAUAUUUAUAUUAUUUGAAUUAUUAUUUGACAACAUGUCAACUUUUGUGUGUGUGUGUGUGAGAGAGAGUGGGUGAGUUGAGGAGCAGUGACAGGUGGGACGCUGAGGAGGAAGUGCUGUCGGCUGGCUGCAGUGUUUUGGUUAGCAUUGGGAUCACUUGCCUUUGCAUUGUGUCUUGCCCCACACGCUCGAUUGACCAGUGUUUCCGUAUUCCCGGCAGCUUCUCCCUGCACCAAGCAUCGCCAAGCAGAGAGGCACGAGUACAUAAGGACGAGCAGACGGCAGCCCUUAGACAAGACCUGCUGAAUGCCUCUACCCUCGCUACGCACUUAACAAGACGCGGCAACGAAGGCAAGAUGAAAAUACCUCAAUUUUUUUGUGCUUAUUAGAGGUUAGAAGAUAAGAAACAAGAUAAGGAGAUUGCAAAAGGAUUCUUAUCACUGGGGACUUAUAAUCUGCCAUCGUCACCAGCCUGGUAAGAUGGAGCCCUUCAGAGAUGAAGGCCUUCUCAUCUCAUUUCAUCAUGCUUCAGUGUGCUCACCGCCCUCUACUUUGUCAACAAGCACUGCAACCAUCGUUCCCUGGACGCUCCACGCGGACGACGACCUGCUCAUUGGCACUCACGUUAAGUGUUUUCAUGGUUGUAGUGAAAAACUAACAAGAUUUCUAAGUCAUCAACGGAAGAAACGGUCUUGAAGACUUGGCUACUCAUCUCUGUGGCUUUCAAAAAUGGUCGUGGUGAGUGAGCGAAGCGUUUCACGAUACGUACCUUGUAAUGACACAGCGAGUUCCCACAGCGAGUCUCCCAUCAACACCUGGCACUUCUCAGGUUACACGGGCUUACCACACGUUACUUGCAAUGGAAUCUCCAGUAAACUACUAUAAGUCUGAGUGGUCGUGUCGAAUCGUUUUUCGUAAAUAAAAUCUUAAAACUAUUUAGGCAGUAGAUGUUUGAGACCCCGACCUAACUGGCAAACAUGCUUUGGUGCCAUAUGCAGAUAACGAAGGCAAGUAGAGGAAAUUUUGGGUAAACUUUGCUAAAAUUUACAGGCACUGGAAGAGAGGCUGAGUAUUGCCAUGCCAGAUGCCUCGCCCACUAAUCCUUUGCUGACGUUCAUGUCACGCUUAACUAAAAGUAAUUCCCCAUGCCACCACCGGUUCUGCCUUUUUGCCUCGCACACACACACACACACACACACACACACACACGGCAAGGAAGCGAGUGGGAGUGCAUUGCUAUUACCACCACAACACCACAACACAUCACCACACGUCACGAUAUUCUUGGCACCCCCUUCAUUCCGCCCUCCUUCAUCCUCCUCCUCCUCCUCUUCCUACUGCUACUACUACAACUAUCACUCUCCACCCGUAAUACUCUUCAUUCAUCCUUCUUUCUUCCUCCUCCUCUUCCAUUCCUCGCUUUUCCUUCUCCUACUUCUACAACCUAACAAUUUCAUUCUGGGAAUACCCUGAAAUGUCAAGAAAAACGCAUGAAAUUGAGGUAAAUAUUGACGAGGAGAAACUGGGAGGCUGGAGGUAAGGUCUCGGUCUGGGUUCUCUUUUUCAAUGUGUUCGCUGUGAAUGGUGCUUCAUCGUUCAAUUUACUGAAGCAUCAUUUGGGGUAUUUAGGGGAUUAUCUAUUUAUUUUCGUGUUUAAAGUAUAUGGGAAAUCAGAAUAGGUAGUGCAUUCCAAUCUGAGAGUCUUCUUUCUAUGUAUCUAUGUAUAAGGGCCGAGACGAACAUUUUCCCUGCUUCCCUCCUUGCCUGUACAUCAAUAUUUAGCUUGACUGUCGGUGUCUCCAAACUCACGUUAAAAAACCCAGAAUUAACAACGAAAGUAGAUAAAUAACCUCUCAAAUGCUUCAAAUACGGCUUAGAUAAAUGAGUGCAGCGCCCUUCCCACCGCACAGACCGAGACCUUCGCUGCUGCCUCCCCGCAUCGCUUCCUCAAUAUUUCCCUUAGUACUAAUAAUCUUUUCCGGGUAUUUCUAUUUUUUUUUUCACACACACACACACACACACACACACACACACACACACAAAGACAUAUACAGCAUUGGGUGUAUUUCAUGAUAUUCUGACAAAUACAAUUACUUUAAACGAAAAUUAUACAGCGUCACACACACACACACACACACACAAAACAGUGGAGCGGGUGGGCGUGCAUUGUUAUCACCACCACACAACACCACACCUAACCACCAGACCACCACACCAGUGUUCCCUUGGCGGCGCGGCCCGCCUCACCCCUGCGAGCACCGCCGAGCCGGGUCCUGCCACUCAGCAGUUCAGGCAAGAAUUUCACAGGAUCUCUGUCCUGUAAUAAGAACUACGAGACGAGGAAUAUUAAACCGACUGACAGUGAAGAGCGUAUUGUCUCAUGUAACGAAGGCGUGUGUGUAGCAGUGCCACAGGCCAGCACGUCAGCGUGGUGUGUAUGAAGCAUCCUCGUGUGAGCACAUGUGUGGGUGACCUGGCUGGCGGCGUUGUGUGGCAAGACAACAGAAACCUCGAGAAAUUGGCGCAAGGAACGAGUUGUGAAGAGAUGGAGGGAAACGCAUGAUUCCCCGCCCAACUACUCCUUACAAGUGGAGCAAAGGACCGCUAAAGAUGUAUGGGAACGCAAUAAGAGAAGGAACCGACCAGCUGACCAGACGAGGAGGAAGAAAUCAAACGCUACGAUAACGUGAACAAGGAGAGCACUGACCACCACCAUCGCCACAAACAAGAGGAACACGCGGAAAGACCGUAGACACCACCACCACCACCACAACACUGUAGUAGAUUGGCUGGUUGCCGGUUAACAGCACUUGUGUGGUUUAAGAGUUAGACUCUCCCUCCUUGAACUUGAGUUUGUUUGUUUUUUUAUUUAUUUAUUUUUGUAAUUUUUGGUGCAAUUUGGUGUGGCAGUUUUUCUUCUCCGGACGCUCUGAGAGGUACUGAAAAGUGAUGAAUCUUUUAAAGAGGGAGCUGGUGAGGAGCACAAGACUAAGUUAAUAAGAUAUUAUUAGUCUUCACUAAAUUCUACACUAAAUUAUAAGUUGUAAAAGGUGUGUAAAUGCCUGUUCACGCUUUUUUUUUUUUUGUAAAUUGCAUAUUUUUCAAAUAUAAAGUUUUUUUUUGUAAAUUGCAUAUUUUUCAAUAAACUUUUUUGUAAAUUGCAUAUUUUUCAAAUAUAAAAACUUUUUUGUAAAUUGCAUAUUUUUCAAAUAAAAACUUUUUUUUGUAAAUUGCAUAUUUUCAAAUAUAAAAAUGUAUUAAAUUAUUAGUUUAUUA